UGGAACUUCUGGCCCAGAUGUCGACCAACUUGGGGGAAACUUUCCACAGUUAGAAGGAUAUCAUCUUCUUCCUCUGUCACAGCAUUAGGAACCUGCGGUCCCGGGAUGGCCCUGUGAGACAAGAGGGGCAGAGUCACCGAGACCAUGCUGAGAGGCACAAGAUGACUGAGCCCCUCGCCCUCCAGCCCUGCCCAGGACGGGGCUCCUGGGGAACAGCCGCAUCACUCAGCAUCCUCACGGGAAGGAGAGGCGGCAGCGGGAGGUGUGUGUGGUUCCUCACAUCCCCGGCUGAGGCUGCCCCCAGGUAGCCUGGCCACGAGGGCUUCCCAGCCAAGCAUGGGAGGUGCCCGUGGACUCAUACUUCCCUGGGAACAACUGUGUGGGAACGCAGCCUGCUCAGCACCUUGACUCUGGAGCUGGCAGAGUGGCCCUGGGCCUUUGCUCUGCCCCCUGGAGAUUCACAGCCCACACUGAUGCUGGACAGCAGUGGCUGCUCUCCUCAGAGCUGAAUGUGGAUGCUUCCCUUGGAUUGAAGAACCCUCCCAAUGCAGAGCGUGAUGCUCUCGAAGGCUCAGGAUGUGCCACCCAUGAGAUUCUGGCCCACGGCCUUCCUGAUCCAGCCACUGCCCUGAGACAGACGAUGAUGAAAAGGAAACCACGGUUCCGCCAGUGGGAAAUGACCUGCAGAUUCCCAGGCCCUGAGCUUAGGGCGCAGAGAAGCACAGCCCUGGGCCAAAAGACCUGGGUUCCCAGGAUCAGGUCUGGACCCCUGGAUGGACUCGCUGAAGCUGACGUUAGCUGGGGUGCUCUGCUGGGCCCCACAAAGGGCCAUCAGUCCAGAUGGAGAUGCCUCGGGAGGUUUUCCCACCACACAGCUGAAGAAUUUCCAGUUUGCAGAAGGCUAAGGAAGGCACAGGAAGCUCCCUGGCUCCUCCGCCCUGGUGGUAUGAACAGUCACGCUGAUGCACCAUCAUGAACAAAUGAUUGGUAAUUAGACCCACACGGUGCAGAUUUCUCUGGUCUUACCUCUCACACUUUUCCUGUCCCCAGAUCCCUUCUGGGCACCAAGUUGCCUAUAGUUUUGUCUCUGUCCUCCUAAGUUUUGGCCCCCUGGGUGUUAAGUGCUGCCAGUGAGACACCUGCAGGGCAGAUGGGCCUCUCAUCCACCUCUUACUGUGCCAGACCACCCCUGCAGCAUCAGCCUGCCUUGAUAGUGAUAGUGACCAGAUAGCAUGAGGUUUAUCUCAGAGGCUCAGGCAAAGAGGACUUCUAAAGACAAAGAGAGGACAUCCACUUAAGCUGUUUGAAAACAAAGUUCUUGGUUUGGGGCUUGUGGCUUCGGAGGAGGGGCUCUUGUCCAAGCAGCUUAUCUGAAUACUGUGAUUCUAACCCCCUGUGAGAAGAUCUCAGAAAGGCAUUCCUGCGCAACACCUCCCUCCUUACAGACUUCAGACUUUGUGCUUGUGUGUGCAUAUGCAGUGCAGGGGAUGGAGCUCAGGGUCUCAUGCAUACUAGGCACUUGCUCCACCACCUGGCAACUUUCACAGUACCAAGACUGACAACCUGGAAAAAGAACACAAACACAAGGCAGGGCAGGAAGCCAGGGUCCUCUGUAGAGGCCAGGCAGCAGCUUCAGGCAGCACCUCCUGUUUCUCAAGACACCUGCAGAGCAGGGAGACAGGGACGUUGUUCUUCAGCACAGAGACAGGGAUUGGGCUGUGAGUCCUUUUUUGGCCCUGAGAAGUGAACCUACCAGGUUCCAUGCAGCCUCUGUGAAGUCUCUGCUCCUGCCACACGGCCAUGCAGGAGGAACCCAGGCCACCCAGACCUGGCCAAGACUUCAGCUGGGCGGGACGAGCCAACAGCCCAGCAUCAGUGACCAUGAUCGGCCAGCAUGCUCUUCCCCCUUUCCAGCAUUUCUGGGUCCGGGUUCAGCGGUCUUUAGUCUUUGUCCUCGUCCUCCAAGUAGGAGGUCGUGGCAGGGCUGGGAGGGGUGUGGAUACUGUAAGGAAAGUAAGCCUGAGGAAAGAUAGUGUAAGGAAAUGCUGCAGCACACUUAGUGAAUGCUUCUUAGGGCUCAUGUCCGCUGGGGUCUUGGUGCUCCUACUUUUCAAUAUUUAUUUAUUCAUUUCUUUACUUUAGUGAUCUCUUUAUCUGCCCCUGGCCCUACCCAUCUCUAUUUGUGGUACUGGGGUUGAGCCAGGGCCUCCCCACCGAGGGGCAUCCUCAGCCCUUUCCGGGUUUUGGACACUGUCAGCCCGGAAGUGACGUGUUUCUGCCCACCCACUGCGUCGUCCCCCCCCCGCCCCCAGCGCGUGCUGGCACCUGGUGCGCCGCCCACCUGUGGUGCGUGGGGCGGAGGUGCGAAGAGGGCGCGAAGGGCCGCGCUGCAGAGAAGGCCGCCAUGAUGGACGAUGGACGAUGGACGAGAAGGUGUCCAAGCGUUCGCGGAAGGAGGAGGUGAGUGGGGCCCCGGGCUGAUAGCUCCUGCCCGGCCGCCUCGGCCGCCCGCGCCCCGGGAAGCGCACCCUCGCGAGGGCGAGGCGCGCGGUUCGGGCAGAAGGCCGUGAACCCUCGGAGCCUCUGUGAAGAGGGAAGGAGCCCUCGCGGCAUCCCGGAGGAGUGAGCGUCCCGUGGGUUAAUAGCCGAGGAAGCCACUGGAACAGUUGCUGGUGACCCCACUGUCCCCUCUACGUUGGCUUCUCUCCCUCCGCGCUGCAGACCUGCGGGUGGCUCGGUGCUGGCCUAGGGGUUGGGUGUGGUGCUUUCUGUGGCGGCGGCUGCUGCUGCGGGCCUCCCUCACCCGGGGAUCGUGAUGGCCAGCGCUUAUUGGGGGUUUGCAGUGUGCUGGGCUUCCAUCUACACAACAGUGGGAAUUUGGCCGAGUUGCCAUUCCCAUUGGAGAGGGGGAAGGCAGAGACUAACAGGUCACACAGCCAUGAAGUGGCAUGGAGCAGCUGAGUUUUGAUCAAAUGUCCCCAACUCAGAGCUCUUGGCCACAUUCCUUUGCCCACUUUCUUCCUAAGUCACUCAUCUCUCCAUUUCCUUAUUUUUCCAAUGAUGAAGUUGGCCUUUUCCCUUAAACUCACAUUAGACUCUAACCUUGAAAAUUCUUGACCAGUUAAGUGCACAGACUGCAGCCAGAGACUCUGGGUUUGAAUCUCACCUCCACCACAACCAGGUGGAUAAUCUCAGGGGAGCAAGACUUGUUUGCUUGCUGUAUGGCAGAAGUCAGUUCAUCUGUGUGACAUCCUUACAACAGUGCUCGGCGUAAAGAAGGCACUCAGCAACUCAAGUUGAACUGUCAUUUGUAGUUAUCUUCACAACUCCAGUAGUUCCUAGUACUUGGAUGAUUGUAACAGUGGCUUCCCUGAAGAGAGAGAGCUCGUGUGGCCUGAGACCUGCUCACUAUCUUGAUUCAUUCUCAGAACAAACCUUUAGGUUCACUGGUGGUCUGAUUAGGCAAGCCCCAAGAUGAUGAUAUCCUUUUCUCAGAGUCAGCUGUGUUGCAUAGCACAGCCUGAUCACGGGAGGGAUAGCUCAUCAUUUCACAACCCUGGCAAUUAUUGGAAGGAGAAGAAUCUUGGAAACACCUGGGACUUUUGCUGCCAAAGAAUCACCUGCUUGACAGUUUUACAUGAGGCAAUUUUGUUAGAGUGUGUAGACUGGUUUUAGAGUAAGCUCUAGAACAGCCUGCUGAUCUUGAACCUGGUGUUUUUGUGUUGUUUUCAGGUGGCUCCAAUUUGAAUGUGUUGUGUUUCUGCCAGCUUCAACCACCAGUGAUAUAUACAUAACUGUCCUAUUGGGCAGCUUAUACCAUUUUAUUAUUAAAAAGAUUGAUAGACCACUCCUAGGGCAGAGGAGGUGAGCCAGUCCCAGCGCCCAGAAGGAGGCUCCCCUGCUGCCAUUCCACCACUCCUAGGGCAGAGGAGGUGAGCCGCAGGGGUGCCAGCAGCAAACCCCCUCUCCCCCGUGGAAAUGAGAAGACAUGUAAACAAGCCUCAAAAACAGACUUCCGGAUCACCUACAGCAACCGCAAAGGGAAACAAGAUGGAACAAUCUGAUGCUCAACCACAUGGACUCCCUGAACUGGCAACAAA